UGUCGAUAUUGGGCGUAAGGGAGCGCAGGCGGUCAGUUUAGUCUAAUGUGAAAGCCCACGGCUUAACCGUGGAACGGCAUUGGAAACUGACAGACUUGAAUGUAGAAGAGGAAAAUGGAAUUCCAAGUGUAGCGGUGGAAUGCGUAGAUAUUUGGAGGAACACCAGUGGCGAAGGCGAUUUUCUGGUCUAACAUUGACGCUGAGGCUCGAAAGCGUGGGGAGCGAACAGGAUUAGAUACCCUGGUAGUCCACGCCGUAAACGAUGAGUGCUAAGUGUUGGGGGCUUUCCGGCCCUCGGUGCUGGAGCUAACGUAUUAAGCACUCCGCCUGGGGAUUACGACCGCAAGGUUGAAACUCAAAAGAAUUGACGGGGACCCGCACAAGCGGUGGAGCAUGUGGUUUAAUUCGAAGCAACGCGAAGAACCUUACCAGCUCUUGACAUCUUCUGACAACUCUAGAGAUAGAGCGUUCCCUUCGGGGACAGAAUGACAGGUGGUGCAUGGUUGUCGUCAGCUCGUGUCGUGAGAUGUUGGGUUAAGUCCCGUAACGAGCGCAACCCUUGUUGUUAGUUGCCAGCAUUAAGUUGGGCACUUUAACGAGACUGCCGGUGAUAAACCGGAGGAAGGCGGGGAUGACGUCAAAUCAUCAUGCCCCUUAUGAGCUGGGCUACACACGUGCUACAAUGGAUGGUACAACGAGCAGCGAUCCCCGCAAGGGCUAGCUAAUCUUUCAAAGCCAUUCUCAGUUCGGAUUGCACUCUGCAACUCGAGUGCAUGAAGUCGGAAUCGCUAGUAAUCGCGAAUCAAAUGUCGCGGGUGAAUCCGUUCCGGGUCUUGUACACACCGCCCGUCACACCACAAGAUUUUGAAACACCCCUAAGUCCGGCCGGCCAACCCUAUGGGAGGUAU
rnacentral:rRNA from 1 species